ACACGUAGGGGGCGAGCGUUAUCCGGAAUUAUUGGGCGUAAAGGGUGCGUAGGCGGCUUCUUAAGCGUGGGGUGAAAGGCAAUAGCUUAACUAUUGUAAGCCUUGCGAACUGGGGAGCUUGAGUACAGGAGAGGAAAGCGGAAUUCCUAGUGUAGCGGUGAAAUGCGUAGAUAUUAGGAGGAACACCAGUGGCGAAGGCGGCUUUCUGGACUGUAACUGACGCUGAGGCACGAAAGCGUGGGUAGCGAACAGGAUUAGAUACCCUGGUAGUCCACGCCGUAAACGAUGAGCACUAGGUGUCGGGGUCGCAAGACUUCGGUGCCGCAGUUAACGCAUUAAGUGCUCCGCCUGGGGAGUACGCACGCAAGUGUAAA
rnacentral:rRNA from 1 species